rnacentral:rRNA from 1 species
AUCAUUACUGAGUUUACGCUCUACACACCCUUUGUGAACAUACCUAUAACUGUUGCUUCGGCGGGUAGGGUCUCCGUGACCCUCCCGGCCUCCCGCCCCCGGGCGGGUCGGCGCCCGCCGGAGGAUAACCAAACUCUGAUUUAACGACGUUUCUUCUGAGUGGUACAAGCAAAUAAUCAAAACUUUUAACAACGGAUCUCUUGGUUCUGGCAUCGAUGAAGAACGCAGCGAAAUGCGAUAAGUAAUGUGAAUUGCAGAAUUCAGUGAAUCAUCGAAUCUUUGAACGCACAUUGCGCCCGCCAGCAUUCUGGCGGGCAUGCCUGUUCGAGCGUCAUUUCAACCCUCAAGCUCUGCUUGGUGUUGGGGCCCUACAGCUGAUGUAGGCCCUCAAAGGUAGUGGCGGACCCUCCCGGAGCCUCCUUUGCGUAGUAACUUUUCGUCUCGCACUGGGAUCCGGAGGGACUCUUGCCGUAAAACCCCCAAUUUUCCAAAGGUUGACCUCGGAUCAGGUAGGAAUACCCGCUGAACUUAA